AUCCUAUCAAGCGCCUUUGGAGGGAAGGCGGUAUCACAUCACCAAGGAGCAGCUUGAGUUCCUCAUAGAUUGUCAUAUGAUGUAACGCCCUGGCCAUAGAGAGGGGUUUUUUGUUCUUUAUUUUGGUUAGGCCAGGGUGUUACAUUGGGUGGGCGUUCUAUGUUCUGUUUCUAUGUGUUUGUAUUUCUUUGUUUUGGGCUGUGUGUGGCUCCCAAAUCAGGCACAGCUGAAGUUCGUUGCUGUUGAUUGGGAGUCACACAUAAGUGCAUGUUUUUCCGUUGGGGUUUUGUGGGUAAUUGUUUCUGUUCGUGUUACUGUGUUUAACGUGACAGGACUGUUUUGGUUGUCUGUUUAUUGUUUUGUAUUGUAUAGUGUCCGUUUUCUCAAUUAAAUAUGACGAACACUAACUCCGCUGCGUUUUGGUCCGCUCUCUCUAAAGGCAACCGUUACAUAUGACCAUCAGACAAAUGGCAGAUGUUCUCAAUGUGUAGCACUCUGUGGUCUAGCGGCGCAUGAGGUGGAUGAUUGUUAUCCAUGGUGCUGUGGAUGGUUACAGCAGACUUGUGUUUCUGAAGGCCUCUGACAACAGGACUGCCACAGUCAUGGAGUCAUUCGAAGCAGCCAUCACCAGCUACGGAGUACCAUCCCGGGUGAGAUGUGACCGGGUGGUGAAAACAACCGCAUCUGUGCCUUCAUGGAGCAGUUCAGGGGUGGUGAGAGGGGAAGUGCCCUCAGAGGAAGGAGCACUCACAACCAGAGGAUAGAGUGGCUGUGGGGGACGUCUGGCAUGGAGUCUCCAACGUUUACCAUGACCUGUUCACCUUCUUGGACGGAGCAGAUCAUCGACAUCAACAAUGAGACCCAAACGGCGUUCCAUACAGUGAACCCAGCGGAGAGACGGGAGCUGAGGCAGAACGAAAAGAAGAGGGAGGGUCUCCUCAGCCCAGCAGAGAAGUGGUCUCAGCUCCAGAAAGGCACCCACCACAGAGAGAGAAUGGAGUGAGUAUGUCCAGUUAUAAAGACUUUAAAGUUCAUGGACAGAUCGGAGAUCAGAAUCAAAAAGAUAAGCUCAGCUUCAGCAGCCUAGAACAUCAGAUUGAAAAUGGACGGAGAAAAGGCUACCAUGAAAUAGAAAUCAUAGAAGCAGUAAUCAGAGCUGUGAGCCACAGGGCUUAAGAUGAUGAGUUAUCUGGAGGGAAAAACAGACAUGACACUCUACACACUAAGGCAAUUCUUGAGGACACAUUAUGCAGAUAAGGAUGCUACUGAACUGUAUCACAAGUUGACUAAAGCAACACAAGAGUCGGGAGUCUGCCUUGGACUUCCUAGUCCGAGUCUUUGACCUGAGACAGAAAGUGUUAUCAGCCUCAGCUCGUGCCCAAUCAGGACUGAAAUAUGGCACAGAGUUAGUCAAGAGUCAAUGCCUGCAGGCCAUUGUUACAGGAUUAACAAAUGAUAAUGUCAGGGCAGAGAUGAGAGUGCAUCUCCAGAAUAUUAACACCAGUGAUGAACUGUUGCUUGAGAAAAUGCAAAUUGC